UACGUAGGGGGCAAGCGUUGUCCGGAUUUAUUGGGCGUAAAGAGCGUGUAGGCGGCUUGACAAGUCUGCUGUGAAAACUCGAGGCUCAACCUCGAGAUGUCGGCGGAAACUGUCUGGCUAGAGUCCGGAAGAGGAGAGUGGAAUUCCUGGUGUAGCGGUGGAAUGCGCAGAUAUCAGGAGGAACACCGAUAGCGAAGGCAGCUCGCUGGGACGGUACUGACGCUGAGGCGCGAAAGCGUGGGGAGCGAACAGG
rnacentral:rRNA from 1 species